UACGUAGGGCGCAAGCGUUGUCCGGAAUUAUUGGGCGUAAAGAGCUCGUAGGUGGCUUGUCGCGUCUGCCGUGAAAGCCCAUGGCUUAACUGUGGGUCUGCGGUGGAUACGGGCAGGCUAGAGUGUGGUAGGGGAGAUCGGAAUUCCUGGUGUAGCGGUGAAAUGCGCAGAUAUCAGGAGGAACACCGGUGGCGAAGGCGGAUCUCUGGGCCAUUACUGACGCUGAGGAGCGAAAGCGUGGGGAGCGAACAGG
rnacentral:rRNA from 1 species